CCCCUAGAUGUUCUGGGCCGCACGCGCGCUACACUGAACAGUUCAACAAGUCUUAACCUUGGCCGAUAGGUCUGGGUAAUCUUUGAACGCUGUUCGUGAUUGGGAUAGACCUUUGCAAUUAUGGGUCUUCAACGAGGAAUUCCUAGUAAACGCAAGUCAUCAGCUUGCAUUGAUUACGUCCCUGCCCUUUGUACCCACCGCCCGUCGCACCUACCGAUUGAAUGGUCCGGUGAAAUCUCGGGACGGCGGCUUGGUCGCUUGCGUCCGACUGCUGAAACUUGAUUAAACCAUAUCAUUUAGAGGAAGGUGAAGUCGUANCA
rnacentral:rRNA from 1 species